rnacentral:rRNA from 1 species
AGGACGAACGCUGGCGGCGUGCUUAACACAUGCAAGUCGAGCGAGGCUCCUCCUUCGGGAGGAUGCCCUAGCGGCGAACGGGUGAGUAACACGUGGGCAACCUGCCCCUAGCACUGGGAUAACCCCGGGAAACCGGGGCUAAUACCGGAUACGACUUCGGAAGGCAUCUUCUGAAGUGGAAAAGGUUACUGGCUAGGGAUGGGCCCGCGGCCUAUCAGCUUGUUGGUGGGGUAAUGGCCCACCAAGGCGACGACGGGUAGCCGGCCUGAGAGGGCGACCGGCCACACUGGGACUGAGACACGGCCCAGACUCCUACGGGAGGCAGCAGUGGGGAAUAUUGCACAAUGGGCGAAAGCCUGAUGCAGCGACGCCGCGUGAGGGAUGACGGCCUUCGGUGUAAACCUCUUUCAGCAGGGACGAAGCGAAAGUGACGGUACCUGCAGAAGAAGCACCGGCCAACUACGCGCCAGCAGCCGC